CGCUCUUGAGAUAGCGCAACCAAGCUGGAAUUCCGAUAUUUAUUUCUGGCCACGUAAAUAUCCUCACAAUAUCCCAAUACCAACAAGCCCCGACAGAAAAUUGUCUGGAUACUUAGUAUUUAGUUUUAUGCUUUCAUGGGAUGGUAAAAGAUUUGUUCAUCCAGUUUGCAGCGAUGGUUACGAGCUAAGGAAAAAGUUUUUGAUACACAUACUCAAGUAUCUGGCUAAUGAAGUUGAAGACAACAUUCCUGAGAUCGUGCGAGAAUACCUUAAACGCGUCAACGGACCAUGGCUUUAAUAAAUAGUGUAUUCAGUCAUUUCUCUUCUACAAAAUAAAUUGUGCG